AUUGAUUUUAUGCUUGCAUAAAUGAUUUUUGGAUUCGGAGCGAGUGGCGAACUGGUGAGUAACACGUGGGUAACCUGCCCCGAAGCGGGGGAUAACAUUUGGAAACAAGUGCUAAUACCGCAUAAUUAGUUGGAACCGCAUGGUUCCAACUUGAAAGAUGGCUCUGCUAUCACUUUGGGAUGGACCCGCGCCGUAUUAGUUAGUUGGUGAGAUAAAAGCCCACCAAGACGAUGAUACGUAGCCGACCUGAGAGGGUAAUCGGCCACAUUGGGACUGAGACACGGCCCAGACUCCUACGGGAGGCAGCAGUAGGGAAUCUUCCACAAUGGACGAAAGUCUGAUGGAGCAACGCCGCGUGAGUGAUGAAGGUUUUCGGAUCGUAAAACUCUGUUGUUAAAGAAGAACAAGUGUUAGAGUAACUGUUAACACUUUGACGGUAUUUAACCAGAAAGCCACGGCUAACUACGUGCCAGCAGCCGCGGUAAUACGUAGGUGGCAAGCGUCGUCCGGAUUUAUUGGGCGUAAAGCGAGCGCAGGCGGUUUUGUAAGUCUGCUGUGAAAGCCCUCAGCUCAACUGGGGAAGUGCAGUGGAAACUACAAAACUUGAGUACAGAAGAGGAAAGUGGAACUCCAUGUGUAGCGGUGAAAUGCGUAGAUAUAUGGAAGAACACCAGUGGCGAAGGCGGCUUUCUGGUCUGUUACUGACGCUGAGGCUCGAAAGCAUGGGUAGCGAACAGGAUUAGAUACCCUGGUAGUCCAUGCCGUAAACGAUGAAUACUAGGUGUUGGAGGGUUUCCGCCCUUCAGUGCCGCAGCUAACGCAUUAAGUAUUCCGCCUGGGGAGUACGACCGCAAGGUUGAAACUCAAAGGAAUUGACGGGGGCCCGCACAAGUGGUGGAGCAUGUGGUUUAAUUCGAUGCUACGCGAAGAACCUUACCAGCUCUUGACAUCUUCUGCCAACCCAAGAGAUUGGGCGUUCCCUUCGGGGACAGAAUGACAGGUGGUGCAUGGUUGUCGUCAGCUCGUGUCGUGAGAUGUUGGGUUAAGUCCCGCAACGAGCGCAACCCUUAUUAUUAGUUGCCAGCAUUUAGUUGGGCACUCUAGUGAGACUGCCGGUGAUAAA
rnacentral:rRNA from 1 species